GGUUAAGCGACUAAGCGUACACGGUGGAUGCCCUGGCAGUCAGAGGCGAUGAAGGACGUGCUAAUCUGCGAAAAGCGUCGGUAAGGUGAUAUGAACCGUUAUAACCGGCGAUGUCCGAAUGGGGAAACCCAGUGUGAUUCGUCACACUAUCGUUAACUGAAUACAUAGGUUAACGAGGCGAACCGGGGGAACUGAAACAUCUAAGUACCCCGAGGAAAAGAAAUCAACCGAGAUUCCCCCAGUAGCGGCGAGCGAACGGGGAGCAGCCCAGAGUCUGAAUCAGCUUGUGUGUUAGUGGAACGGUCUGGAAAGUCCGACGGUACAGGGUGAUAGUCCCGUACACCAAAAUGCACAGGCUGUGAACUCGAAGAGUAGGGCGGGACACGUGGUAUCCUGUCUGAAUAUGGGGGGACCAUCCUCCAAGGCUAAAUACUCCUGACUGACCGAUAGUGAACCAGUACCGUGAGGGAAAGGCGAAAAGAACCCCGGCGAGGGGAGUGAAAAAGAACCUGAAACCGUGUACGUACAAGCAGUGGGAGCACCUUCGGGUGUGACUGCGUACCUUUUGUAUAAUGGGUCAGCGACUUAUAUUCUGUAGCAAGGUUAACCGUAUAGGGGAGCCGCAGGGAAACCGAGUCUUAACUGGGCGUUAAGUUGCAGGGUAUAGACCCGAAACCCGGUGAUCUAGCCAUGGGCAGGUUGAAGGUUGGGUAACACUAACUGGAGGACCGAACCGACUAAUGUUGAAAAAUUAGCGGAUGACUUGUGGCUGGGGGUGAAAGGCCAAUCAAACCGGGAGAUAGCUGGUUCUCCCCGAAAGCUAUUUAGGUAGCGCCUCGUGAACUCAUCUUCGGGGGUAGAGCACUGUUUCGGCUAGGGGGUCAUCCCGACUUACCAACCCGAUGCAAACUACGAAUACCGAAGAAUGUUAUCACGGGAGACACACGGCGGGUGCUAACGUCCGUCGUGAAGAGGGAAACAACCCAGACCGCCAGCUAAGGUCCCAAAGUCAUGGUUAAGUGGGAAACGAUGUGGGAAGGCACAGACAGCCAGGAUGUUGGCUUAGAAGCAGCCAUCAUUUAAAGAAAGCGUAAUAGCUCACUGGUCGAGUCGGCCUGCGCGGAAGAUGUAACGGGGCUAAACCAUGCACCGAAGCUGCGGCAGCGACACUAUGUGUUGUUGGGUAGGGGAGCGUUCUGUAAGCCUGCGAAGGUGUGCUGUGAGGCAUGCUGGAGGUAUCAGAAGUGCGAAUGCUGACAUAAGUAACGAUAAAGCGGGUGAAAAGCCCGCUCGCCGGAAGACCAAGGGUUCCUGUCCAACGUUAAUCGGGGCAGGGUGAGUCGACCCCUAAGGCGAGGCCGAAAGGCGUAGUCGAUGGGAAACAGGUUAAUAUUCCUGUACUUGGUGUUACUGCGAAGGGGGGACGGAGAAGGCUAUGUUAGCCGGGCGACGGUUGUCCCGGUUUAAGCAUGUAGGCUGGUUGUCCAGGCAAAUCCGGAUAAUCAAGGCUGAGGUGUGAUGACGAGGUACUACGGUGCUGAAGUAACAAAUGCCCUGCUUCCAGGAAAAGCCUCUAAGCAUCAGGUAACAUCAAAUCGUACCCCAAACCGACACAGGUGGUCAGGUAGAGAAUACCAAGGCGCUUGAGAGAACUCGGGUGAAGGAACUAGGCAAAAUGGUGCCGUAACUUCGGGAGAAGGCACGCUGGUGUGUAGGUGAAGUCCCUGCGGAUGGAGCUGAGACCAGUCGAAGAUACCAGCUGGCUGCAACUGUUUAUUAAAAACACAGCACUGUGCAAACACGAAAGUGGACGUAUACGGUGUGACGCCUGCCCGGUGCCGGAAGGUUAAUUGAUGGGGUUAUCCGUAAGGAGAAGCUCUUGAUCGAAGCCCCGGUAAACGGCGGCCGUAACUAUAACGGUCCUAAGGUAGCGAAAUUCCUUGUCGGGUAAGUUCCGACCUGCACGAAUGGCGUAAUGAUGGCCAGGCUGUCUCCACCCGAGACUCAGUGAAAUUGAACUCGCUGUGAAGAUGCAGUGUACCCGCGGCAAGACGGAAAGACCCCGUGAACCUUUACUAUAGCUUGACACUGAACAUUGAGCCUUGAUGUGUAGGAUAGGUGGGAGGCUUUGAAGCGUGGACGCCAGUCUGCGUGGAGCCAACCUUGAAAUACCACCCUUUAAUGUUUGAUGUUCUAACGUUGGCCCCUUACCGGGGUUGCGGACAGUGUCUGGUGGGUAGUUUGACUGGGGCGGUCUCCUCCCAAAGCGUAACGGAGGAGCACGAAGGUUAGCUAAUCCUGGUCGGACAUCAGGAGGUUAGUGCAAUGGCAUAAGCUAGCUUGACUGCGAGCGUGACGGCGCGAGCAGGUGCGAAAGCAGGUCAUAGUGAUCCGGUGGUUCUGAAUGGAAGGGCCAUCGCUCAACGGAUAAAAGGUACUCCGGGGAUAACAGGCUGAUACCGCCCAAGAGUUCAUAUCGACGGCGGUGUUUGGCACCUCGAUGUCGGCUCAUCACAUCCUGGGGCUGAAGUAGGUCCCAAGGGUAUGGCUGUUCGCCAUUUAAAGUGGUACGCGAGCUGGGUUUAGAACGUCGUGAGACAGUUCGGUCCCUAUCUGCCGUGGGCGCUGGAGAAUUGAGGGGGGCUGCUCCUAGUACGAGAGGACCGGAGUGGACGCAUCACUGGUGUUCGGGUUGUCAUGCCAAUGGCACUGCCCGGUAGCUAAAUGCGGAAGAGAUAAGUGCUGAAAGCAUCUAAGCACGAAACUUGCCCCGAGAUGAGUUCUCCCUGAGACUUUAAGUCUCCUGAAGGAACGUUGAAGACGACGACGUUGAUAGGCCGGGUGUGUAAGCGCAGCGAUGCGUUGAGCUAACCGGUACUAAUGAACCGUGAGGCUUAACCUU
rnacentral:rRNA from 1 species